CACAAACUUCAAAGUUCUUUACUAAAUAUGAGAUAUCAUGUUGGAGAAUCCCUUUAUGAAAAAGGUCUCUUUUUUUGGUGAGCCUAUUCACCUCUCAUGAAUAAAUGCAUACAAAAUAUGUUUUCCGGCCCAAAUUCAAUUGUAUUCAAUUGUAUUAUGACGACCAAAACAUUGUUAGGCAUGGAGCGCCCUCUUAUGAUGUCACUAUGUUGAACACCGAAUUUGAAUUUAGAAAAUAAUUUCUGAAACAUUAUAGUUUAUUCUGUAGUUGGCAUUGUAGAGUGUGUAUUCACAUCUCUAUCUUCAUUAGCAUAACUAUUUAUUUGAUACAUGUAAUCUCGUUUAUCGGGUGUUUUCUAGAAAUAAUUUAGAAUUAAAGUGAAGAUGCAUCUCCAGUGCAUUCACACAUACUGGCUGCAGUCACACCUUAACGAGCAGGAACUACGAUGAACUGCUCCCAUACUUCACUGUCAAUCAUAUGAGGAGAUGGAUCAUCUCUAACACAAGGAAGGCCUUCCUGAAAGAGAGCUCGAAGUGGAGAAAUGUCUCUCCAGACCAAUCAAAAGAGAUGGCCAGUAACAAUCAUACCACUCAACUAAUCACCUGCUCACAGACAUUGGUCGUGAAAGAGGCUGACGUGGAAGCCCAGCCUCUGCUGCAGAACAGUCUCCAAAGUGUUCAGUGGCAUCCGCCUCACAUUGUAACCCCGGACGGAGGGCUUUGCCUUGGGGUCC